rnacentral:rRNA from 1 species
UGGGGAAUAUUGCACAAUGGGCGCAAGCCUGAUGCAGCAACGCCGCGUGAACGAUGAAGGUCUUCGGAUCGUAAAGUUCUGUUGCAGGGGAAGAUAAUGACGGUACCCUGUGAGGAAGCCCCGGCUAACUACGUGCCAGCAGCCGCGGUAAUACGUAGGGGGCUAGCGUUAUCCGGAUUUACUGGGCGUAAAGGGUGCGUAGGUGGUCUUUCAAGUCGGUGGUUAAAGGCUACGGCUCAACCGUAGUUAGCCUCCGAAACUGGAAGACUUGAGUGCAGGAGAGGAAAGUGGAAUUCCCAGUGUAGCGGUGAAAUGCGUAGAUAUUGGGAGGAACACCAGUAGCGAAGGCGGCUUUCUGGACUGCAACUGACACUGAGGCACGACAGCGUGGGGAUCAAACAGG